GCAGGGCCGGACUGGCCCACCGGGAUACCGGGAAAUUUCCCGGUGGGCCGCGGCACCUGGGGCCGGUCUGACAGCUCCUGUGAUCCCGGCGGCCGUGUGUGAGCUGUGCGGCCGCACAUAGCCCCAUGGGAGCAAGGGGGAGCCAGGCGGCCGGCUCACACACGGCCGCCCGGGAUCAUUUAAAAAAAAAUAUAUAUAUUUGCGGCGGGGGCGGAGCUUACUGUGCGGCGGGGGCGGGGCUUAGCGUGCGGCGGAGGCGGAGCUUACUGUGCGGCGGGGCCGGCUAAUUGCAGCAUGGGAAGCAGGAAGGAGUCCCUGCUUCCCCAACAA